rnacentral:rRNA from 1 species
AUUGAACGCUGGCGGCAGGCCUAACACAUGCAAGUCGAACGGUAACAGGAAGAAGCUUGCUUCUUUGCUGACGAGUGGCGGACGGGUGAGUAAUGUCUGGGAAACUGCCUGAUGGAGGGGGAUAACUACUGGAAACGGUAGCUAAUACCGCAUAACGUCGCAAGACCAAAGAGGGGGACCUUCGGGCCUCUUGCCAUCGGAUGUGCCCAGAUGGGAUUAGCUAGUAGGUGGGGUAACGUCUCACCUAGGCGACGAUCCCUAGCUGGUCUGAGAGGAUGACCAGCCACACUGGAACUGAGACACGGUCCAGACUCCUACGGGAGGCAGCAGUGGGGAAUAUUGCACAAUGGGCGCAAGCCUGAUGCAGCCAUGCCGCGUGUAUGAAGAAGGCCUUCGGGUUGUAAAGUACUUUCAGCGGGGAGGAAGGGAGUAAAGUUAAUACCUUUGCUCAUUGACGUUACCCGCAGAAGAAGCACCGGCUAACUCCGUG